ACAGAGGUCUCGAGCGUUAGGCGGAAUCACUGGGCUUAAAGCGUGUGUAGGCGGAUCGUUAAGUACCUUGUGAAAUCCCACGGCUUAACCGUGGAAUUGCUUGGUAUACUGGCGGUCUUGAGGCAUCUAGGGGCGACCGGAACAAAUGGUGGAGCGGUGAAAUGCGUAGAUAUCCGGAGGAACCCCUGAGGCGAAGGCGGCGUCCUGG
rnacentral:rRNA from 1 species